rnacentral:rRNA from 1 species
ACUAUCCGCCCGGGUACUACGAGCAACAGCUUAAAACCCAAAGGACUUGGCGGUGCUUUAGACCCACCUAGAGGAGCCUGUUCUGAAACCGAUAACCCCCGUUAAACCUCACCUUUUCUUGUUCUACCCGCCUAUAUACCGCCGUCGUCAGCUUACCCUAUGAAGGCCCCUUAGUAAGCAUAAUUGGCACAGCCCAAAACGUCAGGUCGAGGUGUAGCGUAUGAAAAGGGAAGAAAUGGGCUACAUUCCCUGAUACAGCGAAUUACGAAAAAUAUCACUGAAACGUAUAUCUAGAAGGAGGAUUUAGCAGUAAGCAGAAAAUAGAGUGUUCUGCUG